UACGUAGGGGGCAAGCGUUGUCCGGAUUUAUUGGGCGUAAAGGGCGCGUAGGCGGUUUCUUAAGUUUGGAGUGACAGUGGGUGGCUUAACUACCCAAGGCCUCUGAAAACUGGGGGAACUUGAGGACCAGAGAGGGACAUAGAAUUCCGGGUGGAGUGGUGAAAUGCGUAGAUAUCCGGAGGAAUACCAAAGGCGAAGGCAGUGUCCUGGAGGGUGACUGACGCUGAGGCGCGAAAGCUAGGGGAGCGAACAGG
rnacentral:rRNA from 1 species